ACAGAAUCUUCUGAUUGAUCUACCCAUAGAGCCUUGUAGACUAGCUGGCUGGAUCUAUGAGUGGAAGGAAUACAAGAGACCCACCCAGGGUUCCCAGCCAAGCAGAGCACUGGAACUCGUGUCUCAGGCCUCCAUGUCCCCACUGUCACCAGCUGGUCACGUCAGCUUCCAUGGCCCCCCAUCUCCCACAGCAGACAGCCAUGUCAGGUUUCCCCUCCUACUUUGGCUAAUCCCCUAUUUUGCUUGACUUAGAAUCAAAAUGCAGGAGGACUGCACCCAAACGGACUAAGCUUGCUUUAAUCACUGGCAGGUAAUUUGAUAGAUGGCUUGGCCAGCACCCACUGUAGGAAUUAAGCAAAGCCUGAGUUGUGGAGACAGUGGGAAAUAACCUUGAGUGACUGUGGUAAGCAGGCGGCCUCAUUUCACCCGGGGGACAGCACCUGCCCCAGCUCUACAACUCAAAUUGGAAGCCUGCAUGCAGUGUCUGCCAGGUGGAUGGGUGACAUUUCUCUCCCAGCCUCUUCCUCCAAAGACAGGACAAAUGUGUCAGCAGCGGGGCCUCAGGAAGAACCAGCAGACCCUCAGCUUCUCUUCUGACUUACCUGGGGAUAGGACAUCUAACAGUUGAGGAAGGAGUGACUGAAACUGUGCCCCAGUGUCCCCUCCUACCAGUUCAGGUCACAUUUCCCCCAGGCCAGCCAGGUAAGCAUUCCAGCAAAUGAGCUCAUUUGUUGGUUCCCUCAUUUGUUGGGGGAACACAAGAGAAGCCAGGGCCUUUCAGCAGAUGAGAGUGGCAUUAUAAAAUUAGUGUUUUAUGGGCCACAUGCAGAAACUGACCAGUUACCCAAGACUCUGCUGCUUCUGCACAGGGGCCAGUUGCAGAGGAGAAACUUCUAGAUUCUUUCAUCCUGAUGAGGAUUGUUAGCUCUGACUUCAGAUAAGCAGAACAAACAAGCCUCAGCCCAAGUGGGAACUGGUUCUGCGCCCUCGCUUUGCUUUUCUAAGUCAUCAAAGCCAAGUUCCUAGGGCCUGACUGUCUCACGGUACUUUCUGAUGGUUUCAUUGUUUUGUUUAUUGUGCUUAUGACAAGUGCUAACAGACCGCUUUCAAAGUGUGUUGAUAUUUCAGUUGUUUUUGAAUGGCCCUUCUGUUUUUCUGCAUCUGGACAGCAUUACAGUCUGGCCCCAGGGAACCACUGGGUUCCUAUAAAAGUGUACCAGGUCCCCUUAUGCGGAAAACACUGGCCAUGACAAGAUCAGACACCCUUCUGGGCAGGAACACACACCAGAAAUGAGAGCAGAAUCAUGAGCAGCCUUCAGGAGCCAGGAAGGACAGGCCUGGGCUGGGAAGAGGCCAGUGAGCAUUGCCAAGAGGACUGUGGGUGUUCUUUUUCUAUGCAUGGACAUAUUGUGACCUUCCCAAGGGACAAACUCUACCUAGCAGGGUGCCUAGCACUGGGCCAUGUUACUAAGUGUUUGUUGUCAGUCGAUCCCCGCCCCCCCCCCCCUUCCCGCUACCUU
rnacentral:lncRNA from 1 species